GAUGAACGCUGGCGGCGUGCCUAAUACAUGCAAGUCGAGCGGUAACACUUCGGGUGACGAGCGGCGGACGGGUGAGUAACGCGUGGGAACAUACCCCAAACUGAGGGAUAAGCCAUCGAAAGAUGGUCUAAUACCGCAUACGGUCUACGGAUUAAAGUCUUCGGACGGUUUGGGAAUGGCCUGCGUCUGAUUAGCUAGUUGGUAAGGUAAAGGCUUACCAAGGCUAUGAUCAGUAGCUGGUUUGAGAGGAUGAUCAGCCACACUGGAACUGAGACACGGUCCAGACUCCUACGGGAGGCAGCAGUAGGGAAUCUUCCACAAUGGACGAAAGUCUGAUGGAGCAACGCCGCGUGCAGGAUGAAGGCUUUCGAGUCGUAAACUGCUUUUCUCUGUGACGAAUAUGACGGUAGCAGAGGAAUAAGGAUCGGCUAACUCCGUG
rnacentral:rRNA from 1 species